GUAACUAGUUAUUACCCAAACUGUGAUUGUUGCCCACCAACAUUAUCCCCAAGCUUGUCAAAUCUCCAGGGCUUGUGAUCAGGGUUCGUUUGCUCUCGCCUGACUCCUCCCCCGAGUUCGAUGCGCUCGUCUCUCGGCUCUGCUCAGGCUUGUCAGUGCGGGCGAGAGCGCUGCUAAACAUGGCGUCGGACGGGAUGAUUUUAACCAACCACGACCACCAAAUCCGAGUUGGAAUAUUGACAGUGAGUGACAGCUGCUUCAGAAACCUUGCUGAGGACCGCAGUGGAAUCAACCUCAAAGAUCUGGUCCAUGACCCGUCCUUGCUCGGAGGCAUAAUCUCUGCAUACAAAAUAGUCCCUGAUGAAAUUGACGAGAUCAAGGAGACGCUGGUGGACUGGUGCGAUGAGAAGGAGCUCAACUUGAUCCUGACCACUGGUGGAACAGGUUUUGCACCCCGUGAUGUCACGCCUGAGGCCACCAGAGAAGUGAUCGAGCGUGAAGCUCCGGGGAUGGCUCUAGCAAUGCUCAUGGGCUCCCUAGAUGUCACGCCACUCGGCAUGCUGUCCAGACCUGUUUGUGGAAUCAGGGGCAAAACCCUCAUCAUUAAUUUACCUGGGAGCAAGAAGGGCUCACAGGAGUGCUUUCAGUUCAUCCUGCCUGCUCUGCCGCAUGCCAUAGACCUGCUGCGGGAUGCCAUAGUAAAGGUAAAGGAGGUACAUGAUGCUCUAGAGGACCUGCCGUCCCCUCCACCGCCCCUCUCCCCUCCACACACCUCCAGCCCCCACAAGCAGACAGAAGACAAGGGUGUGCAGUGUGAGGAAGAGGAUGAGGAGAAGAAGGACAGUGGCGUGGCGUCCACAGAGGACAGCGGCUCCUCUCACAUCACAGCAGCUGCUAUUGCUGCUAAGAGCAUGAAGUCUCAUCCCAGCCAUGCUGUUGUCAUUGCGAGAGGUGGACAGCCCUUGAGUGGCUUCAUCCCGUCCACCUCCAUUCCCUCCCAUUUCACCUGCUCCUGCAGUGAUACGAUACCAGAGUCCAUCAUCUCACGAGGCGUGCAGGUUUUGCCGCGGGACACCGGCUCUCUCAGCACCACGCCCUCGGAGUCUCCUUGUGCUCAGCAGUCCCGCCUCUCCACUGCCUCCUGCCCCACCCCCAAAGCCCGGCUCACCUCCUGUUCAUCCACUUGUAGUGUCACAGAGGCUGUAUCAGGUGAGUUACUGUCCUGUGGCUUCCUCCAGGCCUCACGGAGAGAGUUCAGGGCUCACCUGGAUGAGGUCAUCACGCUCAAGUCAAGGUACUCUACCUUGGACCAGCUCCACUCUAGGCUGGAGGGGCUCAAAGAUGAUCGCAGGAACCAUAGGACCUUCGACUCGCGAGUGCAGUCACGAUGCAGCAGCAAGGAGAACAUCCUGAGAGCAAGUCACAGUGCAGUGGAUAUCACCAAGGUAGCUAGGAGACACCGCAUGUCCCCAUUUCCCCUCACUUCUAUGGACAAGGCCUUCAUCACUGUGCUGGAGAUGACUCCUGUCCUGGGUACAGAAAUCAUCAACUACAGAGAUGGAAUGGGUCGAGUUCUGGCUCAGGAUGUCUAUGCCAAAGACAACCUGCCUCCUUUCCCUGCAUCAGUUAAAGAUGGCUACGCUGUUCGAGCUGCUGAUGGUCCUGGUGAUCGCUUCAUCAUUGGAGAGUCUCAGGCUGGGGAGCAGCCCACUCUCACAGUUAUGCCUGGCCAAGUGAUGAGGGUGACGACAGGUGCUCCUAUCCCAUGUGGUGCAGAUGCCGUAGUGCAAGUAGAAGACACAGAACUGCUACGAGAGUCUGAAGACGGUACAGAGGAGUUGGAGGUGAGGAUCCUGGUUCAGGCUCGUCCAGGACAGGAUAUCAGGCCUAUAGGACAUGACAUCAAGCGUGGAGAGUGUGUUCUGGCUAAGGGCACUCACAUGGGUCCAUCUGAGAUCGGCCUCCUGGCCACUGUAGGAGUCACAGAGGUGGAGGUGCAGAAGUUCCCAGUUGUAGCAGUCAUGUCCACCGGCAAUGAGUUGUUAAACCCUGAGGAUGACCUUCACCCAGGCAAGAUCAGGGACAGUAACCGAUCCACACUGUUGGCCACCAUUCAGGAACAUGGCUAUCCCACCAUCAACCUCGGCAUCGUCGGAGACAACCCAGACGACCUGCUGAGUGCCCUGAACGAGGGCAUUAGUCGUGCUGACGUCAUCAUCACCUCCGGGGGCGUGUCCAUGGGUGAGAAGGACUAUCUGAAGCAAGUGCUUGAUAUAGACCUGCAUGCCCAGAUCCACUUCGGUCGAGUGUUCAUGAAGCCAGGUUUGCCUACUACGUUUGCCACCUUAGACACUGACGGUGCCAGAAAGCUGAUCUUCGCCCUUCCAGAUGAUCCACAGUUCAGAGAGUUUCUGCCCCAGACCUCCACCCCGAGCCCAAACCAAAGAUGCAGGGGAUCCUGGACCCACGGCCCACCAUCAUCAAAGCCAGGCUGUCCUGUGAUGUAAAGUUGGAUCCACGUCCAGAAUAUCAUCGCUGUAUACUGACAUGGCACCAUCAGGAACCACUUCCCUGGGCACAAAGCACAGGAAACCAAAUGAGUAGUCGGCUAAUGAGCAUGCGCAGUGCCAACGGCCUUCUGAUGUUGCCUCCAAAAACAGAGCAAUACGUGGAGCUGCACAAGGGUGAAGUGGUGGACGUCAUGGUCAUAGGACGGCUAUGAUGUCAUCUUAAGGGGACAGACCAAGUACAGAGCAAGAAAGUGGUGCAUGUCCACAUAUCAUUACUAUUCUGUAAUAUGCAAUGGCACAGCUAGGUUUUAUUGAUUUGGGAGAAGUUGAUCCAAUAUAAUCAACAUUUCGAAAGAAGACGAAUAUGUGAAAUUUCUGAAAAUACGACUUCGAAGACAUCAUAGUAUUUCAAAGACAGAAAACAUUAUAUCUUUUAAAG